UACAGAGGGUGCGAGCGUUGUCCGGAAUCACUGGGCGUAAAGGGCGCGUAGGUGGUGGCUUAAGCGUGCGGUGAAAGCUCGGGGCUCAACUCCGAGUCGGCCGUGCGAACUGGGCUCACUGGAGCAUAGUAGAGGCAGGUGGAAUUCCGGGUGUAGCGGUGGAAUGCGUAGAGAUCCGGAAGAACACCGGUGGCGAAGGCGGCCUGCUGGGCUAUGGCUGACACUGAGGCGCGACAGCGUGGGGAGCAACAGG
rnacentral:rRNA from 1 species